CACGUAGUUAGCCGGGGCUUCUUACUCAGGUACCGUCACUUUCUUCCCUGCUGAUAGAGCUUUACAUACCGAAAUACUUCUUCACUCACGCGGCGUCGCUGCAUCAGGGUUUCCCCCAUUGUGCAAUAUUCCCCACUGCUGCCUCCCGUAGGAGUUUGGGCCCGUGUCUCAGUCCCAAUGUGGCCGGUCACCCUCUCAGGUCGGCUACUGAUCGUCGGCUUGGUGGGCCGCUACCCCGCCAACUACCUAAUCAGACGCGGGUCCAUCUCAUACCACCGGAGUUUUUCACACAAGACCAUGCGGUCCCGUGCGCUUAUGCGGUAUUAGCAGUCAUUUCUAACUGUUAUCCCCCUGUAUGAGGCAGGUUACCCACGCGUUACUCACCCGUCCGCCCGCUCAGUCAAUCUUAAUUCCAUCCGUAAACUUCCCUCAAAAUCGCUUUCGCUCGACUUGCAUGUGUUAGGCACGCCGCCAGCGUUCACUCCUGACGACCAGGAUACAAACU
rnacentral:rRNA from 1 species